AGGUGUUACAGUUCUUUUAGAUUUGUCCAGCAGAAUUUCAGGUUUUUUACACAAAAGCCCCU
rnacentral:snRNA from 1 species